CCUACGGGAGGCAGCAGUGAGGAAUAUUGGUCAAUGGACGCGAGCCUGAACCAGCCAAGUAGCGUGAAGGAUGACUGCCCUACGGGUUGUAAACUUCUUUUAUAUGGGAAUAAAUUGAGCCACGUGUGGCAUUUUGUAUGUACUAUAUGAAUAAGGAUCGGCUAACUCCGUGCCAGCAGCCGCGGUAAUACGGAGGAUCCGAGCGUUAUCCGGAUUUAUUGGGUUUAAAGGGAGCGUAGGUGGGUUGUUAAGUCAGUUGUGAAAGUUUGCGGCUCAACCGUAAAAUUGCAGUUGAUACUGGCAGGCUUGAGUACAGUAGAGGUAGGCGGAAUUCGUGGUGUAGCGGUGAAAUGCUUAGAUAUCACGAAGAACUCCGAUUGCGAAGGCAGCUCACUGAACUGCAACUGACACUGAGGCUCGAAAGUGUGGGUAUCAAACAGGAUUAGAUACCCGAGUAGUC
rnacentral:rRNA from 1 species